rnacentral:rRNA from 1 species
AUAGGGAGUCGGACCUGCCCAGUGAAAUUUUUUAACGGCCGCGGUACUCUGACCGUGCAAAGGUAGCAUAAUCAUUUGCCUUAUAAUUGAAGGCUAGAAUGAAUGGUUUGACAAGAAUACGACUGUCUCUUUACAGCUUAAUAAAACUUAAUUUUUAGGUGAAGAAGCCUAAAUAAAAUUGAAAGACAAGAAGACCCUAUCGAGCUUUAAGAAAAUUAGUAAACUUUAAAAUAAACAUUCAGUAAAGUAUCAAUUACUAAAAAUUUUAGUUGGGGCGACUGAGGAACAAAAGAAGCUUCCUUUUAUUAAUAAUAAAUUUUCAGGUAUUGAUCCAAAGUUAUUUUGAUCAAAGAAAUUAGUUACCGUAGGGAUAACAGCAUUAUCUUUUUUGAGAGCUCUUAUCGAAAAAAAGGUUUGUGACCUCGAUGUUGGACCAGAAUAUCCUAAAGAUGCAGAAGUCUUAAGGGUUGGUCUGUUCGACCAUUAAAAUUCUA